rnacentral:tRNA from 1 species
GCGGCCAUGUGGCUCGGCGAAGCGCUGUGGCUCACGCUCGCGGUCGCGGGGCUGUCCGCGUUCGCACGCACGUUCGAGGCGGGCCUGAUCGUGC